rnacentral:rRNA from 1 species
GGUUAAGCGACUAAGCGUACACGGUGGAUGCCUAGGCAGUCAGAGGCGAUGAAGGGCGUGCUAAUCUGCGAUAAGCGUCGGUAAGCUGAUAUGAAGCGUUAUACCCGACGAUACCCGAAUGGGGAAACCCAGUGUGUUUCGACACACUAUCAUUAUGUGAAUACAUAGCGUAAUGAGGCGAACCGGGGGAACUGAAACAUCUCAGUACCCCGAGGAAAAGAAAUCAACCGAGAUUCCCCUAGUAGCGGCGAGCGAACGGGGAGGAGCCCAGAACCUGAAUCAGUUUGUGUGUUAGUGGAAGCGUCUGGAAAGUCGCACAGUAAAGGGUGAUAGUCCCGUACACAAAAAUGCACAAAUUGUGAGUUCGAUGAGUAGGGCGGGACACGUGACAUCCUGUCUGAAUAUGGGGGAAUUCAUCCUCCAAGGCUAAAUACUCCUGACUGACCGAUAGUGAACCAGUACCGUGAGGGAAAGGCGAAAAGAACCCCGGCGAGGGGAGUGAAAUAGAACCUGAAACCGUGUACGUACAAGCAGUGGGAGCCUACUUGUUAGGUGACUGCGUACCUUUUGUAUAAUGGGUCAGCGACUUAUAUUCUGUAGCAAGGUUAACCGUAUAGGGGAGCCGCAGGGAAACCGAGUCUUAACUGGGCGUUAAGUUGCAGGGUAUAGACCCGAAACCCGGUGAUCUAGCCAUGGGCAGGUUGAAGGUUGGGUAACACUAACUGGAGGACCGAACCGACUAAUGUUGAAAAAUUAGCGGAUGACUUGUGGCUGGGGGUGAAAGGCCAAUCAAACCGGGAGAUAGCUGGUUCUCCCCGAAAGCUAUUUAGGUAGCGCCUCGUGAAUUCAUCUUCGGGGGUAGAGCACUGUUUCGGCUAGGGGGUCAUCCCGACUUACCAACCCGAUGCAAACUACGAAUACCGAAGAAUGUUAUCACGGGAGACACACGGCGGGUGCUAACGUUCGUCGUGAAGAGGGAAACAACCCAGACCGCCAGCUAAGGUCCCAAAGUCAUGGUUAAGUGGGAAACGAUGUGGGAAGGCACAGACAGCCAGGAUGUUGGCUUAGAAGCAGCCAUCAUUUAAAGAAAGCGUAAUAGCUCACUGGUCGAGUCGGCCUGCGCGGAAGAUGUAACGGGGCUAAACCAUGCACCGAAGCUGCGGCAGCGACGCUUAGGCGUUGUUGGGUAGGGGAGCGUUCUGUAAGCCGUCGAAGGUGGCCUGUGAGGGCUGCUGGAGGUAUCAGAAGUGCGAAUGCUGACAUAAGUAACGAUAAUGCGGGUGAAAAACCCGCACGCCGGAAGACCAAGGGUUCCUGUCCAACGUUAAUCGGGGCAGGGUGAGUCGACCCCUAAGGCGAGGCUGAAAAGCGUAGUCGAUGGGAAACAGGUUAAUAUUCCUGUACUCGGUGUUACUGCGAAGGGGGGACGGAGAAAGCUAGGUUAUCCGGGCGACGGUUGUCCCGGUUUAAGCGUGAAGGUGGAUGACUUUGGUAAAUCCGGGUCAUUAUUAACACUGAGGCGUGAUGACGAGUCACUACGGUGAUGAAGUAACCGAUGCUACGCUUCCAGGAAAAGCCUCUAAGCUCCAGGUAACAUCAAAUCGUACCCCAAACCGACACAGGUGGUCAGGUAGAGAAUACUCAGGCGCUUGAGAGAACUCGGGUGAAGGAACUAGGCAAAAUGGUGCCGUAACUUCGGGAGAAGGCACGCUGAUGGUAGGUGAAGUGACUUGCUCAUGGAGCUGAAAUCAGUCGAAGAUACCAGCUGGCUGCAACUGUUUAAUAAAAACACAGCACUGUGCAAACACGAAAGUGGACGUAUACGGUGUGACGCCUGCCCGGUGCCGGAAGGUUAAUUGAUGGGGUCAGCCGCAAGGCGAAGCUCUUGAUCGAAGCCCCGGUAAACGGCGGCCGUAACUAUAACGGUCCUAAGGUAGCGAAAUUCCUUGUCGGGUAAGUUCCGACCUGCACGAAUGGCGUAAUGAUGGCCAGGCUGUCUCCACCCGAGACUCAGUGAAAUUGAACUCGCUGUGAAGAUGCAGUGUACCCGCGGCAAGACGGAAAGACCCCGUGAACCUUUACUAUAGCUUGACACUGAACCUUGAGCCUUGAUGUGUAGGAUAGGUGGGAGGCUUUGAAGCGUGGACGCCAGUCUGCGUGGAGCCAACCUUGAAAUACCACCCUUUAAUGUUUGAUGUUCUAACGUGGGCCGUAAUCCGGGUUGCGGACAGUGUCUGGUGGGUAGUUUGACUGGGGCGGUCUCCUCCCAAAGCGUAACGGAGGAGCACGAAGGUUAGCUAAUCCUGGUCGGACAUCAGGAGGUUAGUGCAAAGGCAUAAGCUAGCUUGACUGCGAGAGUGACAGCUCGAGCAGGUGCGAAAGCAGGUCUUAGUGAUCCGGUGGUUCUGAAUGGAAGGGCCAUCGCUCAACGGAUAAAAGGUACUCCGGGGAUAACAGGCUGAUACCGCCCAAGAGUUCAUAUCGACGGCGGUGUUUGGCACCUCGAUGUCGGCUCAUCACAUCCUGGGGCUGAAGUAGGUCCCAAGGGUAUGGCUGUUCGCCAUUUAAAGUGGUACGCGAGCUGGGUUUAGAACGUCGUGAGACAGUUCGGUCCCUAUCUGCCGUGGGCGUUGGAAGAUUGAGAGGGGUUGCUCCUAGUACGAGAGGACCGGAGUGAACGCACCACUGGUGUACGGGUUGUGAUGCCAAUUGCAUUGCCCGGUAGCUAAGUGCGGAAGAGAUAACCGCUGAAAGCAUCUAAGCGGGAAACUUGCCUCGAGAUGAGUCUUCCCUGGGCACUAGAUGCCCCUGAAGGGCCGUUGAAGACGACGACGUAGAUAGGCUGGGUGUGUAAGCGUAGCGAUACGUUGAGCUAACCAGUACUAAUGACCCGAGAGGCUUAACCUU